GUAAAACAGUAUUCAGAACUACUGAUUUAGAUGUUGAGGAAGGAAAAUAUUUAUAAAUUCAAGUAUCCAUGAAAUCCAGUGGUGUCGAAAAGACAAUAAACACUGGCAGCAAAAGAGAAAUAAUUGUAAUGCAACAAUUUUGGAGUUGAGAUUGUGAUCUCACAGCAACUAAUCUCGUUCAUUUCCAGUUAAAUCAGCAGAAAUAAUUUUCCUAAGUGAUACUGCAGAUAGGCCUUGGUUCUCCAUCUAUGAAGAUGUCUUUAUCCUCUCUGUCUCUCUGUCCUCUUUGUCUUCCCUGAGGAUGGAGAAAAUAUUCAAGAGGUCCUUGCUUGGAGGAGUACAAUGGUUGAGAGCUAAUGUAUGAAGGUGGCUGGGAACUCUGUCUAUAUGAAGGAUCCCAAGUCUAAGAUGGCAAAUCCCUGAUUAUUAUGGAUGACUGGAGUAAUAAUCUGCAUGCAAGUCUCCUAAGAACUCAUGAUUUCACUUUGUGUUUCAAUGGGAUGCUAUUGGUUCCUUAUUGCACAUGGAGACUUAUUU